rnacentral:rRNA from 1 species
GUGGGGAAUAUUGGACAAUGGGCGAAAGCCUGAUCCAGCCAUGCCGCGUGUGUGAAGAAGGCCUUCGGGUUGUAAAGCCCUUUUGUACGGGAAGAAAUCAUUCGGAUUAAUACCCUGGGUGGAUGACGGUACCGUAAGAAUAAGCACCGGCUAACUUCGUGCCAGCAGCCGCGGUAAUACGAAGGGUGCAAGCGUUAAUCGGAAUUACUGGGCGUAAAGUGUGCGUAGGUGGUUGUUCAAGUCUGUCGUGAAAGCCCUGGGCUCAACCUGGGAAUGGCAAUGGACACUGGGCGACUAGAGUGCGGGAGAGGAUGGCGGAAUUCCCGGUGUAGCGGUGAAAUGCGUAGAGAUCGGGAGGAACAUCCGUGGCGAAGGCGGCCAUCUGGACCAGCACUGACACUGAGGCACGAAAGCGUGGGGAGCAAACAGGAUUAGAAACCCCGGUAGUCC